AAUGGAAAGCUGUCCCAUGAGGUGGAAGAGGGUGUCACAGGAGGUUCGUACGACCACAGUUUUAACAACAUAAAGGGUGGGAGCAAUGAGUCAGGUCUUGCGGGAGAAGGCAAGUCAAUGCAAAACAACGACAGAUGUCACGUCAAUGGACAGAAUGGAGGUAGUAUUACCCUGGGUGGAGAAAAGUCUGCAGCCCACAGGUUCAGCGGUGAGCAGUCUCGAGCGCCUGGCAGUCAGAGGAUGGGGAAUGUGGGAGAUAAGGCGUUUAGGGUGAAGGGACGACAGGGGAGUAAAGUCCAGCAGGUGGCUUGCCCCCCGCCUCCCCCUUGCCCUGUGAGAACUCUACAGAUGUCCCUUUGCUCCCCACGGCACUGUACCAGGACAGGGUGAGAGGGCUGGUACUGGCCCUACUGGUAGAGAGACAAUUCCACAGCGACACUGAAGCCACAGAGGAAGUGUAUCUCAGAAGCCUGGCAUCUCUGAAUGGACUGGAGGCACAUCUGAGGACUACUGCUCCGGGAGCCUCUGGCCCUCAGGGACACUACAGACUGACUGUAUACAGAACACGCUCACAAGCAACCUGUCUGGUAGGCCAGGGGGAGCCCAGGACCGUUCUUUUGUGAGAGUCACAUCGCUGCUCCACUCGCAUUUCUCUCACACUGAAGCUCUGCAGGAGGCUAUU